UGGGGAAUAUUGCACAAUGGGGGAAACCCUGAUGCAGCGACGCCGCGUGAACGAAGAAGGUAUUCGUAUCGUAAAGUUCUGUCCUAUGGGAAGAUAAUGACAGUACCAUAGAAGAAAGCUCCGGCUAAAUACGUGCCAGCAGCCGCGGUAAUACGUAUGGAGCGAGCGUUGUCCGGAAUUAUUGGGCGUAAAGGGUACGCAGGCGGUUUAAUAAGUCGAAUGUUAAAGAUCGGGGCUCAACCCCGCAAAGCAUUGGAAACUGAUAAACUUGAGUAGUGGAGAGGAAAGUGGAAUUGCUAGUGUAGUGGUGAAAUACGUAGAUAUUAGGAGGAAUACCAGUAGCGAAGGCGACUUUCUGGACACAAACUGACGCUGAGGUACGAAAGCGUGGGGAGCAAACAGG
rnacentral:rRNA from 1 species